UACGUAGGGUGCGAGCGUUAAUCGGAAUUACUGGGCGUAAAGCGUGCGCAGGCGGUUCGUUGUGUCGGCGGUGAAAGCCCCGGGCUCAACCUGGGAAUGGCCGUUGAAACUGGCGAACUGGAGUGUGGCAGAGGGGGGUGGAAUUCCGCGUGUAGCAGUGAAAUGCGUAGAGAUGCGGAGGAACACCGAUGGCGAAGGCAGCCCCCUGGGCUAACACUGACGCUCAGGCACGAAAGCUAGGGUAGCAAACGGG
rnacentral:rRNA from 1 species